CCUACGGGAGGCAGCAGGGAAUAUUGUGCAAUGAACGAAAGUUUGACACAGCGACACCGCGUGUGGGGUGACGGAUCUAGGUUUGUAAACCACUUUCAGGAGGGAGGAAAAUGACGGUACCUCCAUAAGAAGCCCCGGCCAACUACGUGCCAGCAGCCGCGGUAAUACGUAGGGGGCGAGCGUUGUCCGGAUUUAUUGGGCGUAAAGAGCUCGUAGGCGGUUCAACAAGUCGGUCGUGAAAGUUCAGGGCUCAACCCUGAAAUGUCGAUCGAUACUGUUGUGACUAGGAUACGGUAGAGGUGAGUGGAAUUCCGAGUGUAGCGGUGAAAUGCGUAGAUAUUCGGAGGAACACCAAUUGCGAAGGCAGCUCACUGGGCCGCUAUCGACGCUGAGGAGCGAAAGCUAGGGGAGCAAACAGGAUUAGAUACCCUGGUAGUCCUAGCUGUAAACGAUGGAUACUAGACGUAGGAACUGGAUUGACGGUUUCUGUGUCGCAGCUAACGCGUUAAGUAUCCCGCCUGGGGAGUACGGUCGCAAGACUAAAACUCAAAUGAAUUGACGG
rnacentral:rRNA from 1 species